rnacentral:RNase_P_RNA from 1 species
GGAGUGCAUCGGGCAAUCGCUCCGUUCGCGGAGAGGAACGUCCGAACUCCACAGGGCAGCGUGCCAGCUAACGGCUGGGCGUCCAAUCACGCCGACUUGUCGGCGCGAGAGACGACGGAAAGUGCAACAGAAAACAAACCGCCGUGCGGUUCGCCGCACUGGUAAGGGUGAAACGGCGAGGUAAGAGCUCACCGCGUUCCGCGUAAUCGGAAUGGCAGUGUAAACCCCACGCGGAGCAAGGCCAAGCAUGGCGUCGAAUUGGGAGCGGCCCGCUCCCCAUCUGAGGAUUCAUCUCCACAGAACGACGCCGGGUAGGCCGCUGGAGGGCACGAGCGAUCGUGCUCCGAGAUAAAUGAUUGCCUCCCUCGCUUGCGAGGCAGACAGAAUUCGGCGUACAGAUGCGCUUCGGAU